UGUGGAGUAAGGAAGGACCACAGCAGAGUAAAGCAAUGGAGACCGAGGUCUCAGAAACCCUCAGGGAAGUUGGCAUUUUAACUGGUCUUUGAAGACCAGAUGAGGAAACUGAGGCUGAGAGGGUAGAGAACUUUGCCUGAGGUCACUCAGCAGGGACCCACCCAUCACAGUAAAUGCCAGCACUGCUGAUGCCAAAACAAUGUUAUUUGUAGGCCCUCGGAAUUUGUGACCUGAAGGAAGAAGAGCAGGGCCGUGGGAAGUAUGUAACCAGUGUCAUGCCCCUGGUCCCAAGGAAGCAGUGGCUUGGCCUGAACACCCUGUCCUACCUGGUCCUACCUGGAUGCUGGCCUCAGUAAGCUCCUGGGCUCAUUGAAGAUGAACCUAGCAGUAGUAUUUACACCACUUGUUGUGUGCCCACUGUGGGCCCGGCGCCAUGCCGAGUGCUCUAUGGAUGUGAGAGAAACGGAGGCCCAGAAAGCAGAAAUGAUGUGUUAAGAUCACUCAUCAAGCUGAUGGUACAGAGUGCUGGGAGAGAAAAGCAUACGACAUAGACAGGGAGGUCAAGCUCCACCACGCAGAUGAGGUGCAGGCCACCAGUCUUCCUCUGCCACAUCUCUUUCUGAAAAGGCAGCCUGUGCUGAGAAACCAUGACUGAGUAAGCCAAGCUUUGUUGGCCGCACCUGCCAAGCCACAGGGUGCCUCAGGCUUGGAGCAUCCCGGAGCCAGUUACAACCCAAGACUUCAGCCUUCUGGAAGGUGUUGGGUCAGCCACCCUGAAGGACGAUCCUGCCCAAGUGACAUGCUUUGCUCUUCCUUCUCACCCAGGACUUCACAUUCACCCUUGCAAUCCAUGUGGGGACACUGUUGGAUAGGAGGCGUGGUCCCAGCGUGGUCUCCCUGUCUGGGCCUCUGCCUAUGCCAAAUGUUUGCCUUACGCUGCACACUCAAGAGGUUCCAUGUAUACAGAUGGGAAUUCCAGAGCUACAGAAAAGGCAGCAAGCACCAUGAUUUAAGCUAACCAGUGUGGAUUCACACCUUCCUCUCUCUCUAUCAGUGGCAGAACUACCAGCUAGAGUAAGAAGUGGUUGAUCCAGGACCUAAACAUUCUGGAAACUCUUGCCCACUUCUGGGAGAAAUGACCCAAUCCAUAGUACUAAGCACACCUUAACUUUCGUAGGACGCAGGCAAGUUGUCAUACCGUGUGCCUAAAUAUAGAAAAAUGAUCCACUGGACUAAUAAAGUGUUAAAUAAAAUAUGUCCUGACUGUCUACUUUGACAACAUACUUUCAUAAUGACAAAACUUAAAAAUGUAUAAAGCUAUGGUUUUUAUAUAGUUGAAAAUUGACAAAACAGAAGACUAAAUUUACUUAUUAUUGCACAUGAUGGGCGGGCUAUGUUUGGUUGAG
rnacentral:lncRNA from 10 species